UAAUGCCUAGGAAAUUGCCCUGAUGUGGGGGAUAACCAUUGGAAACGAUGGCUAAUACCGCAUAAUGCCUACGGGCCAAAGAGGGGGACCUUCGGGCCUCUCGCGUCAGGAUAUGCCUAGGUGGGAUUAGCUAGUUGGUGAGGUAAGGGCUCACCGAGGCGACGAUCCCUAGCUGGUCUGAGAGGAUGAUCAGCCACACUGGAACUGAGACACGGUCCAGACUCCUACGGGAGGCAGCAGUGGGGAAUAUUGCACAAUGGGCGCAAGCCUGAUGCAGCCAUGCCGCGUGUGUGAAGAAGGCCUUCGGGUUGUAAAGCACUUUCAGUCGUGAGGAAGAUAGUGCAGUUAAUAGCUGCAUUAUUUGACGUUAGCGACAGAAGAAGCACCGGCUAACUCCGUGCCAGCAGCCGCGGUAAUACGGAGGGUGCGGGCGUGAAUCGGAAUUACUGGGCGUAAAGCGCAUGCAGGUGGUUUGUUAAGUCAGAUGUGAAAGCCCGGGGCUCAACCUCGGAAAUUGCAUUUGAAACUGGCAGACUAGAGUACUGUAGAGGGGGGGUAGAAUUUCAGGUGUAGCG
rnacentral:rRNA from 1 species